rnacentral:lncRNA from 1 species
UUGGUUGUUAAGCUAGGAUAUUGCAUAAUGUGCUUUUGUGAUUAGGACUUUUUAGAUGUGGUUUGCGAUAUUGUAGAGGUGAUGAUUUUUAUGUGUUAAAUCUGUGAGUACCUGCUGUUUUCAUACCGGUUUUAGAGAGAUUGCAUGUUUGUUUUGCUUGACGACAAGCAAAAGGGUAAGUGUGGGGGAGUUGAUAUACCAUGGAUUUGACCCAUUUUCAUCUAUG